ACGGGAGGCAGCAGUGGGGAAUAUUGCGCAAUGGGGGAAACCCUGACGUAGCGACGCCGCGUGAGUGAAGAAGUAUUUCGGUAUGUAAAGCUCUAUCAGCAGGGAAGAUGAUGACGGUACCUGACUAAGAAGCCCCGGCUAACUACGUGCCAGCAGCCGCGGUAAUACGUAGGGGGCAAGCGUUAUCCGGAUUUACUGGGUGUAAAGGGAGCGUAGACGGCUGUGCAAGUCUGAAGUGAAAUCCGCGGGCUCAACCCGCGAACUGCUUUGGAAACUGUAUAGCUGGAGUGCAGGAGAGGUAAGUGGAAUUCCUAGUGUAGCGGUGAAAUGCGUAGAUAUUAGGAGGAACACCAGUGGCGAAGGCGGCUUACUGGACUGUAACUGACGUUGAGGCUCGAAAGCGUGGGGAGCAAACAGGAUUAGAUACCCUGGUA
rnacentral:rRNA from 1 species